GAUGAACGCUGGCGGCGUGCCUAAUACAUGCAAGUCGAGCGAACGGACGAGGAGCUUGCUCCUCUGACGUUAGCGGCGGACGGGUGAGUAACACGUGGAUAACCUACCUAUAAGACUGGGAUAACUUCGGGAAACCGUAGCUAAUACCGGAUAAUAUUUCGAACCGCAUGGUUCGAUAGUGAAAGAUGGUCUUGCUAUCACUUAUAGAUGGAUCUGCGCUGCAUUAGCUAGUUGGUAAGGUAACGGCUUACCAAGGCAACGAUACAUAGCCGACCUGAGAGGGUGAUCGGCCACACUGGAACUGAGACACGGUCCAGACUCCUACGGGAGGCAGCAGUAGGGAAUCUUCCGCAAUGGGCGAAAGCCUGACGGAGCAACGCCGCGUGAGUGAUGAAGGUCUUCGGAUCGUAAAACUCUGUUAUUAGGGAAGAACAAAUGUGUAAGUAACUGUGCACAUCUUGACGGUACCUAAUCAGAAAGCCACGACUAACUACGUG
rnacentral:rRNA from 1 species